rnacentral:rRNA from 1 species
AGUGAACGCUGGCGGUAGGCCUAACACAUGCAAGUCGAACGGCAGCACAGUAAGAGCUUGCUCUUACGGGUGGCGAGUGGCGGACGGGUGAGGAAUACAUCGGAAUCUACUUUUUCGUGGGGGAUAACGUAGGGAAACUUACGCUAAUACCGCAUACGACCUACGGGUGAAAGCAGGGGAUCUUCGGACCUUGCGCGAUUGAAUGAGCCGAUGUCGGAUUAGCUAGUUGGCGGGGUAAAGGCCCACCAAGGCGACGAUCCGUAGCUGGUCUGAGAGGAUGAUCAGCCACACUGGAACUGAGACACGGUCCAGACUCCUACGGGAGGCAGCAGUGGGGAAUAUUGGACAAUGGGCGCAAGCCUGAUCCAGCCAUACCGCGUGGGUGAAGAAGGCCUUCGGGUUGUAAAGCCCUCUCGUUGGGAAAGAAAAGCAGCAGGUUAAUACCCCGCUGUUCUGACGGUACCCAAAGAAUAAGCACCGGCUAACUUCGUG